GAUCUCAGUUCGGAUUGCGGGCUGCAACUCGCCUGUAUGAAGUCGGAAUUGCUAGUAAUCGCGGAUCAGCAUGCCGCGGUGAAUACGUUCCCGGGCCUUGUACACACCGCCCGUCACACCAUGAGAGUCGGGAACACCCGAAGUCCGUAGUCUAACCGCAAGGAGGGCGCGGCCGAAGGUGGGCUUGAUAAUUGGGGUGAAGUCGUAACAAGGUAAC
rnacentral:rRNA from 1 species